CAGCAGCCGCGGUAAAACGAAGGGUGCAAGCGUUACUCGGAAUUACUGGGCGUAAAGCGUGCGUAGGUGGUGGUUUAAGUCCGUUGUGAAAGCCCUGGGCUCAACCUGGGAAUUGCAGUGGAUACUGGGUCACUAGAGUGUGGUAGAGGAUAGUGGAAUUUCCGGUGUAGCAGUGAAAUGCGUAGAGAUCGGAAGGAACAUCUGUGGCGAAGGCGACUAUCUGGGCCAACACUGACACUGAGGCACGAAAGCGUGGGGAGCAAACAGGAUUAGAUACCCGUGUAGUCCCUGUCUCUUAUAC
rnacentral:rRNA from 1 species